rnacentral:rRNA from 1 species
UACGUAGGGUGCGAGCGUUAAUCGGAAUUACUGGGCGUAAAGCGUGCGCAGGCGGUUCGUUAAGUUCGUUGUGAAAGCCCCGGGCUCAACCUGGGAAUGGCAAUGGAAACUGGCGGGCUUGAGUGUGGCAGAGGGGGGUGGAAUUCCGCGUGUAGCAGUGAAAUGCGUAGAGAUGCGGAGGAACACCGAUGGCGAAGGCAGCCCCCUGGGCCAACACUGACGCUCAGGCACGAAAGCGUGGGGAGCAAACAGG